rnacentral:rRNA from 1 species
AUCGGUGCCCAGAGAGGAGGGGAACCACCUGUUCCCAUGCCGAACACAGAAGUUAAGCCCUCCAUCGGUUACAAUACUUGGGUCAUCAAGCCCUGGGAAGAUAGCACGGUGCCGAUU